GAUGAACGCUAGCUACAGGCUUAACACAUGCAAGUCGAGGGACCGGCGCACGGGUGAGUAACACGUAUCCAACCUGCCCUUUACUCGGGGAUAGCCUUACGAAAGAGAGAUUAAUACCCGAUAUAAAGGAUGGGGAGGCGUUCCAUUAGGUUGUUGGUGAGGUAACGGCUCAGCAAGCCUCCCAUGGAGAGGGGUUCGGGGAGGAAGGUACCCCGCAAUGGAGACGCGGCACGGUCCAAAAUCGUACGCGAGGCAGCGGAGAGGAAGAUAGGUCAAUGAGCGCUAGCCUGAACCAGCCAAGUAGCGUGAAGGAUGAAGUGUUAUGAGACGUAAACUUCUUUUAUAUAAGAAGAUGUAUUAUAUGAAUAAGCAUCGGCUAACUCCGUGCCAGCAGCCGCGGUAAUUC
rnacentral:rRNA from 1 species